rnacentral:rRNA from 1 species
UACGUAGGGCGCAAGCGUUUGUCCGGAAUUAUUGGGCGUAAAGAGCUCGUAGGUGGUUUGUUACGUCUGCUGUGAAAACCUAGGGCUUAACCCUGGGCCUGCAGUGGAUACGGGCAGACUAGAGGUAGGUAGGGGAGAAUGGAAUUCCUGGUGUAGCGGUGAAAUGCGCAGAUAUCAGGAGGAACACCGGUGGCGAAGGCGGGUCUCUGGGCCGAUACUGACGCUGAGGAGCGAAAGCGUGGGGAGCGAACAGG